AUGGCGGCGGCGGCGGUGGAGGUGAGCAACAGGAGCGUGAUCCAGAAGCGGCACGUGACGGGGUUCCCCACCGAGGACGACAUGGAGCUCGUCACGGCGACGGCGCGCGUGGCCGUGCCGCCAGGGUCGGCGGCGGUGAUGGUGAAGAAUCUCUACCUCUCCUGCGAUCCCUACAUGCGCAGCCGGAUGACCAACCACAAGGAGCCCAGCUACGUCCCGGACUACGUCCCAGGGGAGAUUAUACCGACUUUCGGUGUCAGCAAGGUGGUAGAAUCCGGGCACCCGGAUUACAAGGCCGGUGAUCUGGUGUGGGGAAUGACAGCAUGUGAAGAAUACACCUUGAUCACUACUCCGGAUUCGCUUUUCAAGAUCAACCAUCCCGAAUUACCGCUGUCGUACUACUUAGGUGUUCUCGGCAUGCCAGGCCUUACUGCAUAUGCUGGAUUUUUCGAUGUGUCCAAGCCAAAAAAGGGCGACUAUCUGUUUAUCUCGGCAGCAUCAGGCGCCGUCGGACAACUUGUCGGGCAGCUUGCCAAGAUCACAGGUUGCUAUGUAGUUGGCAGUGCCGGUUCUGAUGAGAAGGUA
rnacentral:rRNA from 1 species